rnacentral:rRNA from 1 species
GACGAACGCUGGCGGCGUGCUUAACACAUGCAAGUCGAACGAUGAACUUGGAGCUUGCUCUGGGGGAUUAGUGGCGAACGGGUGAGUAGCACGUGAGUAACCUGCCCUGGACUCUGGGAUAACUUCGAGAAAUCGGAGCUAAUACCGGAUAGGACCUUGCACCGCAUGGUGUGGGGUGGAAAGUUUUUCGGUUUGGGAUGGACUCGCGGCCGAUCAGCUUGUUGGUGAGGUAGUGGCGCACCAAGGCGUCGACGGGUAGCCGGCCUCCGAGGGUGACAGGCCACACUGGGACACAGCCACGGGCCAGACUCCUACGUGUUGCAGCAUUGGGGGAUAUUGCACAAUGGUCGCAAGCCUGAUGCAGCAACGCCGCGGGCUGGAUGACGGCUUUCGUGUUGUAAACCACUUUUAGUAGGGAAGAAGCCUUCGGGUGACGGUACCUGCAGAAAAAGGACCGGCUAACUACGUGCCAGCCGCCGCGGUAAUAC